ACAAAGUAAACCAAUACUCAUAAUUCGUGAAUUAGCAAAUAGAAUGAGGUAAAACUCUUGAUGAUAUUUCACAACAUUGGAUUGGAUAUUGGAUGAUAUUAUGUGAUUUCCUAUGUUUGUUAUUUGAACUUCUAAUGUCACUAUAUGAAAUUUGGCAAAGUUUUUUGGUUUUUCGGAUUUGAUUGAUAUUAAGAGUUUAUGGAAAUAGAGUUGGGUCAGGGAAUGAUUUGUUGACUUUAUUGAAUUUUUUUUUACACCAACAUGAUAUCGCUAUUUAUUUGUGGAUUGCUAUUAGUUGAUGGUUAUCGAAUGAAAGGAAUGAAGACAUGCUUUCGGCCUUUUGUUUCAUUGAUUAUUCUCGGCCGUAGUUGCCAUUAGUCUACCGGAAAUCAUUAAUCGAUGUUAUGUUAAACAACCAGUUUUCUAGGCUUUUUUUUGGCAAUUUCAGCUUUUUAAUUACUUUUCCGUCUUUUUUCUUUCUAAAAAGUGGUCAAUUAUUAUUCUUUGCUUCUCGGUAUAAAAAACAUCUAUCUAUAAUAAUAAAGCAGAGUUUUCUCUCACCUUAGGCCUCCACAUCAUCGAGAAGGAGGAGGCAAUUAAGGACACGUGUCCAUCUUUUAUUUCCGCAAGCCAGUUUUCUUGACUUCAAUUUGGGCCAUUUAUGUUUCUGUAGAAAUGACAAGGCCCAAUCUCUCAUUUGACCAAAAAAACUCUAACAUGUCUCCUUCACUUUGUUUGUUCGUUUCGAUCUGAGGAACCCCGUCCGUUUCGAUUCCUUUCCCCAGCUGAGAAAUGACAAUCGUUAUGGAAUUGGAACCUCAAUACCCACUAAUCUGGUUAUGGUCAAGAAAGGUGGAGCGUCGAUGGGUAGUGAUCUGGUCCUGGCUUGAUGGAAAGGUACUGAGACAUUUCCUUUUCUCAAUUAUCGAUCCCUAUAUUGCUAUCCCAUUAUCCCGUUCCUUUUUUUUUUUUUUUUUUUGCGCAACUCCUUCCUUUUUCUAUGAUCAUACUUCUUUCUCAGUGUUUAUAUUGUUGGUUUUGCUAGAGAUUUCGAUGUUCAUGUUGUUGUGGAGCUCUAUUUCUCUGAGCUUAAGGCUAGCCGUUGUAGGAAGGUUGUGGUGACGAGGCUUCUUAUGUUUUUGGAAACUUGAAUUAUUAAGAAAUUCUGUUCUCGGAAGCUGGAAAUAAUAAGAGAUUGGAGAGUUGAUGGGCGUGGAUCUGCUAAUGGUCAAUCGAAAGGUAAUUAUUCUUACUGUCUACUUCGAUUUAAAAACCUGUACACCUUCUAGAUUAUCCUUCUUACAAGUGUUCUUAUUUGGCCGCAGUCAACAAAGCAACAUAGCUUCUGCUCAGGCUCUGAGCCACCGAUACCAUCGCUAUGUACAUCAUGUACCUUAUGGCCGUCACAACCCUUCGGUAUUUGAACUGAAAUACUGAUGAUAUGGGUCAGAUGUACGAGCUAUACUUCGAGCUUACUAUUCAGCUUCAUGCAAUUUGAUGGGGUUAGUUCUUUCUUUUCUUUUGUGUGUAUUCACAUGCCGAUCCUGAAGCUGUAUUUAAAUCUCUAGAUCAGAUUUCAAUUUCUAUGUUUUAACUAAGAAAGUUCUAUUUGGAAAAAUUCAUGAUUUUGUAAAUACCAUGAUUUCUGAAAUUUUAUUGCUAUUUCGGUUUUCUCUUUCGGAUUCUCAAUGAUGAUUCAUGAAGAUUAAGCGUUGACUUCAAAUAUGUGUUUUUUGAAUUGGUAAUUAUUGUGAAAAGCUGUGGUCGGAACAUGAAUUUAUGAAUUUUGUUGCGUUCUAUUAGCUCUUUGACUCGCUCUCUAUAGCAUCCCAUAAAUGAUGAGAUGAUGUGUGUUUACGCUCCCCUCUGUUCUUGAUGCUCUCUUUUUGAUUCCCGAUGGAUAGUUCAUCAAGAUAUAUGUGUCUGAUUUCAUGUAUAUGUUUAUAGGAUUGCAACAUUUAGAUUGCCACUGAUGGGAACAUGAAAGUAUAAUAUUUUUAGUAGUGUUAUAUUAGCUCUUUGACUAUACUUUUCAGAUGCAAUACUUAAUGUUGUGCUCUUAGUGUGGAGAAGCAGACUCUUAUUUCUCAAAUAUGCUAAAAAUUUUCCCCGCGUACUCUACUAUCAAUUUGUUUUUCUUCUUAAACUUGAUCAGCUUAGUUGAUGACAACCAACAAUCUGUCUGGCCCUUUUAUCUAGGAUUGUUCGGCCUUGAAUCUGCUUGCAUCAAAAGCCUUUGACCUUCCUCAUCCUACCAAGGGUCGAUCAUCUUCGUAGGUAUCUUAUUUACGCGUUACUGCUCUCCGAUGAGGCGAUGACCAUACAUCACACUGGAAACAAAAAUACCAAGCCUCUAAAUGUGUCCCCAAAUCUCACUACCGGCCCACCGUCUACAGAUAUAGCACGGUAUUCAACUGUACUGCUCUCAACUCUCUUAAUUUGUGCUUACAGUCAUCUUUCAUGGUUUUGAUCUUUGGUUCUAGACUCAAGUCGGAGCGUGUUAGAGACCAUGGAGAAGAAGGAACAAAUGCAGUUUCUUAUGAACCUGCUGCAGACAAGACAAGACACCAAGGAGAAACGCUUCGUUGAACCCCUUUUGAUAUGCAAGAGCCCGCACAAUACUCACUCAUUUCUGUUUUUAAUGAUUAUUCCAAUAGAGGAGAAACAAUUAACACAAAAUGUGUUGGUUGUUUAGUCUUCAUGCGAGAUAUUCAUGUGAAAUACUAGCUCCUCUUUCACUUUUUUGGUGCGACGAGUAUGCUGUGAUUAAAUUAUUUGAUUGUGUUGAUUACUUAAUUUUGUUGAGCAUGAAAUUUACUUGCAUAAUUGUAAUAUGAUGCUUGAUUUGUCGUGAUUCCUUUUCUUUUCUGUAAGGUAGCCAAUAGGAAAAUUCAAAACCUCAAUCUUUAAGACAAUGACCACUGUCGGGCAUGUAAUAUUUGUUACAAAUUUUCCAACAAUCAAGGUUGCACCAUAACAAAUCCAGGUGACCACAAAUUUUGAAAACCAAAAAAUAAAUACCAUUCAUCUCUUUUUAAUUUUAUUAUGUUUAUUUUACUCCAAGUUAGAUUGCAGCUUAGAUUUUAUCGGUCUUUAGACAAGGAACAUGGCUGGAUAUAUGCGAAGUAAUUGUGUGAAUUUAUCAAAUGAUCUUAUAUAAUAACUGACCAAUUUGGCUAUUAUACUUUCUAAACUAAAUUAUUUAAUUAUUGAACAAUUUCCAAAAUAUAAAAGUUAAAAACAUCAUAUAUGCUACCAAUAUAAUAAAACAAUAUCACAAAAUAACAAAAGAAUCAAAAACAAAUAUAAUUAAUAACACAAAUUAUUCUAUUAAAUAAUUUAAAAUAAUAACAAUAAUAGAAAAACUUACCUAUCUCUUAAUUAAAGCUAAAAUAAGUUUUAUAAUUAUAAACUUACCUCUCUCUUCCUUGCGUCACGUCAGCUAGAGCAUAGGGGCAAAGAUCACACGUGUCAUCUUAUAAAGUCUUCAACAAAACCAAUUUUCGUUCUGAAAUCUAUAGCAUGUUUAUUGCAUUCACAGAUUCUUCGUAACUGGGCCACAACUUUUUUUUGUUUUUGGGCUUUGUAAAACUAUUAUGGCUAAAUUUAGGUAUGAUCCGCUCAGUCAAACUUAUGAAAGAGGUUUUGUUUGUGACGUUUGCUGUAUAUCUUUUAUCUUCUCACUGUGAAAUCUAACCCUUCCUAAGAAAACGUACGCAAUUAUGUCAAUUAAUAAACGACAUCCAUUUUAUGAGCUUCAACGCCUCUUUGUUUCCUUAUCAAACACUCUGAUUGAGUACAUAUACACAAACUUUCAUGUGAGGAAGAGAGCAUUUUCUUUUAUUGUUCGUGACCUUUCUUCCUCUCUCCCUAGCCUAUUGUGCUUUCGUCUUCCAUUGGCGUGGCCGACUCAACUACCCGGUUAUCCAUUGGUCUAUGGAUCAUCACGAGUUCCCAAAAAUUGCUUCAACCCACACGAAACGUUCUUUGCGUCGCUCAGUUUCUUAUUCGGAUUGCAUCAGAGCCGUGCCCCUUCGUUUCCCUAUUUCAAUGACUGUAAAUUUGAUUGCCAAACAGAUCUGAAACCUAAGAUCUCCACAAGCUUACAUGAUCCACCUUACACUUUUAAGGUUAGUUAACUUGUUUGUCCACUAAAUUUUUGGAAAACAUACAUGAAAUGUAUUUUUACGAAAUUGAUGAUUUCAGUGUAACCGGGCAAAGACAUGUAAACAUAAAUAAGUGGUACAACUGAUGUAAUUGUAUUUAUUAUGUGGUACAACUGAUAUUUUACGAUUUCACUGCCAAAGUACAACUAUGCACAAACUGAUACAACUCAAAAACUAGUACAACUAUGUACAGCCGGUACAACUAGAAAACUAGUACAACUACUUGUUAUUUUAUUUAUUAUAUAUGACUAUAUUACCCUUGAUGAAAAUGCAUUCUCAACCAUUAGAUCAUCUCACCUCUUAUAAUCUGAACCACACGAUCUUUCUUCUCUUCUUCUCUCUUUCGGUUGGGACCCACUUCCUCUUUCUCUCAACCCUAGAUCAUUUUUCCCUUGUUCGAUCAUGGCCACACGAUUUCUAUCAUUUGUAUGUGUAUAACUAAUAUAACUUGUACAACUAAACAAGCAAACAGAUGAUGUAACUAGUAUUUACGUGACACGACUAAUAAAUCAUGUUUUCCAUAUGAAAUAAACAAUAAAAUAUCUUAAUUGGUUAAUGGUGACAAAAUUUUGUUUAUUUUAAUUGAGAGUUUUCAGUAUUUUGUUUUAUUUACCAAAUGGAGAUGCGGUUUCUCUCUUGCGGUUCCAAGCCUGCUUGGUUAGAUUUGACGAGGACCACCGUGGACACCACCAUCGAGCUUCCUCUUCUUCGUCAUGACUUCACUCUUCUUUGCUGUAUCUCUCUUCUUCUUCUUCACUGUGUAUUUCUUCUUCUUCGUUGCGGCACCUCUCUUUUUCACAGUAGAGUCCUUUUUGUUCAUCGCCGGUGAGUCAUUCUUACUCAUCGUCGACACUCCCUCUUUCUUCUUUUACGGGUGACUCGUGUAUUUGGAACCAUGGUUGAAUUUUUUUCUGGCUCCGUAUCUACCUUUUUGGUCUCGAGAGCAAAACGAUGAAGAUGGUUUUUUUCCGAAAAUAGUACAACUAGUAUAACUAGUACAACUUGUAACAAAUCAUUAUCCAAAUCAAAUAUUAUUAAAAAUAUACUCUUCAUGUAUUUAAUACAGGCGGGGAAGAUUAGACAAACAUGUCUUCUUGGUUCUACAUCAUCAUUUUUUUAUCAUCUUCAUACGCUGAAAACAAAAAAAUAAAAACCACUAUAUUAAUUGCAAAGUUGUACUAGUUAUACAUGUUUUACUUGUAUCAGUUAUAAUGGUUAUACUCAGACUAUUUAUACUAGUUAUACUCAUUGUAGUUGUACUACUUGUACCAAUUUGAGUUGUACUAGCUGUACUAGUUGGAGUUGUACUAGUUGUCUUAGUAAUACUCUGCGUUUCUUCUUUAUCUUCAAUCUCGUAAGUAAAAGAUGAAAUUUGAUUCUAGAUAAGAUAUAAUUGAUUAAACAUGACUAUGAGUUGAUCGAUUUGAGAUAAGAAAAAGAAAUUUGGUGGAUUAUUAAAGAAAAUUUUUGAUUUUGUUUUAAGGUGGAAGAAUAUUAAUGGAGAAAAUAAAAGAGGAAUAAGAAGAUUAGGGUUAAAAUUGGGUCGGAUUUUGGGUAUGGAUCCGGAUCAAAUCUGGGUAGGAAAGUCAUGGCAUAAACUAGUUAAUAUGUUUAAUUUUGUAGGUCUUAUGGUCUUUUACCCCUAUUUUUGAUUUAUUUUUAAUAUAUUGUUUAAUUAAAAAUAGAAGAGGUCCAUAAUAGAUUUUUUUUUACCCCCUUUGUCCCAUACUAGCAUUUGAUCCCUUUUGGCCACUGGUUGAUGGAAAGGUAUAUACAUUUAAAGUAUGUCUUUUAAAAGAAAAAAUUGGCACCUGAAAACACUUAUUCCUGAUAAUAAUUUUGAAUCUCUGUUUGUUACUCUUUGUUUCAGCCAGAAGUUUUGCUACCAGAAGGAUCGAAGUGGUGAAAGACACUGAGUUCUACAAAUUGGAAAUGUGGCAGAUGUUCCUCUAUUUACAAACCUGAGGGGGUAACAGAAGGUUUUCGUUGCUUUUUCAUUUAUGGUUGCCUAAUCAUCUAGUUCGUAAUAGAACCGUGCGAGUUAUUUUGAAAAACCAGAGGAGUCUGAGUCUCUGUGAGACUUAGACUGAGACUGAAGAAGUGAAAUGUUUAAGAUCAGGGAUUUUGCAGAGAAUUGUGAAACAUGUGAGAUGAUUCUUGGCGUGGACCAACGGUCUACUUCCACCCUGAAGAGACUUACAUGCCUUCAUCUGUGCCAUACUAUAUAUAUUUUUUUAAAACACAGCUUUUUAAACAGGUUUGGUACACCCCAAGUCAAACCGGUUAGCUCGAGUGGUUUGAAUUACCCUGCAGGUGGACAAAACAAUGGGUACUUCUGGAUUGAUCUCCCUCAAGAAGACGUGAAAGUAACAAGCAAGCUAAAAUAUCGGGCUUCGACUUUAACCACAAACCGCAUCGGGAAGCAUGUUGUCACUGCAAAUGUGAUCUUCAUGAAAAGCAAUUUUACGGCCAGCUUAAGUAGAUGUUAUUCUUGCAGCAUAGCGGGAGCGGUGGCGGAUGGGUUGAUGUAUCUGAUCUUGAGUUUCUCAAAGCUAGCAACGCACCAGUUGUCUUGGACUUCUUUUUUGUAAAGAACUUCACAUUUUAAUUCAUAUCAACUUCUCAUAGGAAUAAAAAUUGAGAAAUUCUAGGUUCA